GGCCAGCAGCCGCGGUAAUACGUAGGUGGCAAGCGUUGUCCGGAUUUACUGGGCGUAAAGGGAGCGUAGGCGGAUACUUAAGUGGGAUGUGAAAUACCCGGGCUCAACUUGGGUGCUGCAUUCCAAACUGGGUGUCUAGAGUGCAGGAGAGGAAAGUGGAAUUCCUAGUGUAGCGGUGAAAUGCGUAGAGAUUAGGAAGAACACCAGUGGCGAAGGCGACUUUCUGGACUGUAACUGACGCUGAGGCUCGAAAGCGUGGGGAGCAAACAGGAUUAGAUACCCUGGUAGUCCACGCCGUAAACGAUGGGUACUAGGUGUAGGAGGGUCCAACCUUCUGUGCCGCCGUUAACACAAUAAGUACCCCGCCUGGGGAGUACGGUCGCAAGAUUAAAACUUAAAGGAAUUGGCGGGGGAC
rnacentral:rRNA from 1 species